rnacentral:rRNA from 1 species
ACGUAGGUGGCAAGCGUUGUCCGGAUUUACUGGGUGUAAAGGGCGUGCAGCCGGGAAUGCAAGUCAGAUGUGAAAUCCAUGGGCUUAACCCAUGAACUGCAUUUGAAACUGUAUUUCUUGAGUACUGGAGAGGCAAUCGGAAUUCCUAGUGUAGCGGUGAAAUGCGUAGAUAUUAGGAGGAACACCAGUGGCGAAGGCGGAUUGCUGGACAGCAACUGACGGUGAGGCGCGAAAGUGUGGGGAGCAAACAG